rnacentral:rRNA from 1 species
UACGGAGGGUGCAAGCGUUAUCCGGAUUCACUGGGUUUAAAGGGUGCGUAGGUGGCUUUGUAAGUCAGUGGUGAAAGCCCGGAGCUCAACUCCGGAACUGCCAUUGAUACUGCUUAGCUUGAAUCAGGUCGAGGUGGAUGGAAUAUUACAUGUAGCGGUGAAAUGCUUAGAUAUGUAAUAGAACACCGAUUGCGAAGGCAGUUCACAAGGCCUGUAUUGACACUGAGGCACGAAAGCGUGGGGAGCAAACAGG